GGGCGUCCCGGAGUUUUCCUGCGCCGGUGUUCCCACGUGCGGCCUGAACCUGAGGGCAUAAUGUUAUGAGGAGAUGGGAGCCCUAGUGAUUCGCGGUAUCAGGAAUUUCAACCUAGAGAACCGAGCGGAACGUGAAAUCAGCAAGAUGAAGCCCUCUGUCGCUCCCAGACACCCCUCUACCAACAGCCUCCUGCGAGAGCAGAUUAGUCUCUAUCCAGAAGUUAAAGGAGAGAUUGCUCGUAAAGAUAACAAGCUGCUGUCGUUACUAAAAGAUGUGUAUGUUGAUUCCAAAGAUCCUGUGCCUUCCUUGCAGGGCCUAUGAUGUUGUGAAGGACACAGACAUUAAACAAAUGAGCAACAAUGUGACCGUAAUUAUGGGAGAAGUACAAGCUGCUGAAACAUGUCAAGAGCCGAAGGAAUUCAGAUUGCCGAAAGACCAUCACCUUGAUAUGAUAAAUACUAAGAGCAUUCCCAAAGGCAAAAUUUCCAUUACAGAAGCAUUGUCACUUCUCAAUAAUCAUAAGCUUUUCCCAGAAACCUGGACUGCUGAGAAAAUAGCGCAAGAAUACCAGUUAGAACAGAAAGAUGUGAAUUCUCUUCUUAAAUAUUUUGCUACUUUUGAAG
rnacentral:sRNA from 1 species